rnacentral:rRNA from 1 species
AUGGGCCUAAUAGAGACAGACAAAUCUCUAGAUGACAGCUUGACUGAGUCUGCUACUUUCCAAAUGGCCUAUGCUCUAAGAAGGCUUUUUGCAACUAUUCUUGUGUUCUGCGAGGCAACCAAAAUCCAUGCAUUAUGGGAGAAGCAUCUGGAGUCAAUGUCUUAGGAUUACCGUCGUACCCAGUCCAACCAGGCUGCGCUGGAACAGAUGGUCCUUAGAGACAUCCGAGACUUGGUGCAUUCGAUGGGCAAAGAUAUUAAACGCUAUGGCCUCCCGAAGCUGGUCGAGGCCUGUGAUGGUUCUGGCGACCUCCCAAGGGAGGUUCAAGAUGAGUUGUCAGUCGAUGUGGAACGAGAGCAUUUAGAUCUGUAUACAUCCCUGAACAUUGAGCAGAGGGCUGGCUUUGAGGAAAUCUUGGAUCACGUGGUGAACAACAGGAAACAUGUUUUCUUUGUUGAUGGUGGCACGAGGAAGACUUAUCUCUACAAGGUGUUUCUUGCUAAAGUGCGUUCAUUAGGGAAAAUAGCUAUUGCAACUACGACAUCCGGAAUAGCCGCAUCAAUCAUGCCUGAUGGACGUACCACCCAUUCCAUGUUCGAAAUUCGGAUCAAACUCAUGGAUAAUGCAUCUACAGCUUCACCAAGCAGAGUGGUACUGCAGAGUUGCUUCAGAGAGCAUCUCUGGUAA